GGAUUGUUGCAUGUGGUUACAAGAACCACACAAAUUAAAGCAAGCUCCAGACAGGACGUCUCCUCUUAUCAUGUGAUCAUAAAAACAUGUCACAUGUUUUAUUUGAGCAGAACGUUGAAGACAGCUCAUCGCUAACAUGUCUGCCACACUCCUUUAUCUGUCGGUUCUGUUACAAUCAGGUCUCACAAUUGUAGUUCUUCAGUCGGGGGAUCAGGUGUCUUACCCAGGACUCCCUGUGAUGCUGGAGUGCAGCAUGGGUCCAGGGGCCAGCAUGGGAAGCCAGACCAUGUACUGGUACCGACAGAACCACCAGGGAGCUCCAGUGGAGUUCCUCACCAAAGAAUAUGACCAAACCAAGGGCCGCAUCCAGUCGUCUAUAGAUACAUCUAAAAACAACUUCUCUCUUCAGAUCACUGAGCUGCUCCCCAGUGACAGCAGCACCUACUACUGCGCUGCCAGACACAGUGACACAUACAGACCAGACCAUCAUACAAAUAACACGCCUGCCUGUCACAGCUGGCAUCCAGGCAGGAAGGAGCUGUGGUUUUGUUUUAAUGCUAAACUGACAGUGAGAGUAAAGAAAAGGAGUGGAUGCAGCUUACACCGCUUAGUUGAGGGCGGAGGAAGGAGGUGUAAGUGGAGUUUCCACCAUGUCUCCAGCUGUAAACAAGUAUUUACUGUUACUGAUUGUGUUUACAAGGAAGGUGGACAGUGUUAUCUUUAAACAGUCGAUGCCUCAGAUUGUGAGCACAGGGACCAAAGAGGUGGAGAUCACCUGCAGUCACGACGACAGCAGCCUUCAAGUGAUGCUGUGGUACCAACAGAAACAGAGCAGCCGGUCCAUGAGCCUUAUUGGCUACAUAGUCGC